GCCCUGGGUUCGGUCCCCAGCUCCGGAAAAAAAAAAAAAAAAAAAAUAGCGGGGCUGGAGAGAUGGCUCAGCGGUUAAGAGCACUGACUACUCUUCCAGAGGUCCUGAGUUCAAAUCCCAGCAACCACAUGGUGGCUCACAACCAUCUGUAAAGAGAUCUGAUGCCCUCUUCUGGUGUGUCUGAAGACAGCUACGGGGCUGGGGAUUUAGCUCAGUGGUAGAGCGCUUACCUAGGAAGCGCAAGGCCCUGGGUUCGGUCCCCAGCUCCGAAAAAAAGAACCAAAAAAAAAAAAAAAAAGAAAGAAAGAAAGACAGCUACAGUGUACUUAUAUAUAAUAAAUGAAUAAAUCUUUUAAAAAAAAAAGAA
rnacentral:lncRNA from 1 species